rnacentral:rRNA from 1 species
GAUGAACGCUGGCGGCGUGCCUAAUACAUGCAAGUCGAGCGAACAGAUGAGGAGCUUGCUCCUCUGACGUUAGCGGCGGACGGGUGAGUAACACGUGGAUAACCUACCUAUAAGACUGGGAUAACUUCGGGAAACCGGAGCUAAUACCGGAUAAUAUAUUGAACCGCAUGGUUCAAUAGUGAAAGACGGUUUUGCUGUCAUCUAUAGAUGGAUCCGCGCCGCAUUAGCUAGUUGGUAAGGUAACGGCUUACCAAGGCAACGAUGCGUAGCCGACCUGAGAGGGGGAUCGGCCACACUGGAACUGGGACACGGCCCAGACCCCUACGGGAGGCAGCAGUAGGGAAUCUUCCGCAAUGGGCGAAAGCCUGACGGGGCAACGCCGCGUGAGUGAUGAAGGUCUUCGGAUCGUAAAACUCUGUUAUUAGGGAAGAACAAAUGUGUAAGUAACUAUGCACGUCUUGACGGUACCUAAUCAGAAAGCCACGGCUAACUACGUG